GGCUCUGUGGCUUAGUUGGUUAAAGCGCCUGUUUCGUAACAGGAGACCCGGGUCCAAUUCCCAGCAGGGCCU
rnacentral:tRNA from 1 species